rnacentral:misc_RNA from 1 species
GAAAAUAUUGAUGUCCGGGAGAAGGUUUCUGGAGCUAUCACUCAGUUGAGUUACAAUGAAGCUGAUAGAGCUGCUCUUGCAAAUUCUGGAGCUAUUCCACGAUUAGUAGAUAUGUUACAGGAUGAGUCGGAGGAAAUGAGAGACAAUGCUGCAGAAGCUCUUGUCAAUUUCUCAGAGGAUCCGUCGCUAGGUGAUAGAAUAUCAGAUGUGUUAAAUAGUCCUUCUUUCCAAAAUAUGCAAGAAAGACUGACGCAAAUUCGUGCUUCAGAUGCUUAUUUGGCUGCAUCUCUUAGACAUAUGAACACUGAGCAAUUAACUAUGGACCCUGCUGCUCUUAUCUGACUCCUUAUUCGUCUUGAAUGUUAGAGUUAUCUUUUUGAAAGCAUUUU